rnacentral:rRNA from 1 species
UACGUAGGGUGCAAGCGUUUGUCCGGGAAUUAUUGGGCGUAAAGAGCUCGUAGGCGGUUUGUCGCGUCGGCUGUGAAAGCCCGGAGCUCAACUCCGGGUCUGCAGUCGAUACGGGCAGACUUGAGUGUUGCAGGGGAGACUGGAAUUCCUGGUGUAGCGGUGAAAUGCGCAGAUAUCAGGAGGAACACCGGUGGCGAAGGCGGGUCUCUGGGCAACAACUGACGCUGAGGAGCGAAAGCGUGGGGAGCGAACAGG